rnacentral:rRNA from 1 species
GACGAACGCUGGCGGCGCGCCUAACACAUGCAAGUCGAACGAGCGAGAGAGAGCUUGCUUUCUCGAGCGAGUGGCGAACGGGUGAGUAACGCGUGAGGAACCUGCCUCAAAGAGGGGGACAACAGUUGGAAACGACUGCUAAUACCGCAUAAGCGCACAGGACCGCAUGGUCUGGUGUGAAAAACUCCGGUGGUAUACGAUGGACCCGCGUCUGAUUAGCUAGUUGGUGAGGUAACGGCCCACCAAGGCGACGAUCAGUAGCCGGCCUGAGAGGGUGAACGGCCACAUUGGGACUGAGACACGGCCCAA